rnacentral:lncRNA from 1 species
UUCCAUACUAAUCAACGAAAUUAAACAUAUAAGUGCAUGAAGUUGAAUUUAGAAUUCUUGGACCAAUAUAAAAUGGUCCACAAAAAUUUGAAGUUCAUCAAGUGCCUGAUUUGAUAGUAUGAAAUAAGCAACACAGGAAAUGAAAAGUCGUUGCAAGCACCAGGCAACAAAAGAAGGAAGCAGGAACAAGAUAUCCAUAUAUCCAUCACAUCAGUGAAUGUGAAAUUCUUUCCCACCCUUGGUUAAUCCAAAGGGGCUAGUUGACAGCGGCUCAUAAGGGAAUUCCGUUAGAAGUCUCUGGACCUCUCUCUUUCGAGGCCUCCU